CCGCCUCAUCGGCAUCGGCGGCCGGUCGCCGCGUCCUGACCGCGGCGGCCGGCGCGCUGCUCACCGGACUGCUGUUCAGCGGCUGUGGAGGCGGC
rnacentral:tRNA from 1 species